AUCUCUGACGUUUAUCUCUCGGUAUCUUUCCGUAAGAAAAAUCUCUUAAAUAAGAGGGAUUGCAGAUUUAAAAGGUGUUUUUCAUUAUCAUGUAACUGAAGGAUAGAAUUUUUGCUAACAGUGGGUAGUUAGUGGAUCUCUGUAGUUAAUAGGGAGAGUAUUUGUGUUGUGGUUUGUUUGGGGGUUCGGGUUUUUUUGGGGGUACUGGGUGCAGGUACGUGCAAACAAGAAUUGGUCCCUCCUGAAGGCCCCUAGUGUUUCUGUAAUGGAAAUUGCAGAGUCUGUGAAACCAAAAAAAAAAAAAAGUCUGUCUUCUUGUUUCCCUUUUUCUUCAUCCCCACCACAUUUUGAUAGGAGUACUGUCCAUCCCAUUUCCAGAGCAUGCAUUAAAUUUCUGAAAUAGAUCAAGUGAAGUUUUCAAACUGUCUUAUACUACAGAUAAUGCAGCAUGUCUGAGUUGAACGCACGACUUCCAUUUUGCUUGGUGAACUCUAAAGCCUGGUCUUGCAUCACAGGAGCUCUACUGUCAAGGACUAUAUCCCGUGUAUAUUACAUACACAUAUAUUUAUGCAUGAAGUGCUACACUUUUUUCAUACUGAUGUGUUCAUUGAGCUGUUUCAGUCUCUGUUAGGCUAGUUUGAAAGGAAAUUUUCAAAGAGAGAAGGUGGAAUGUAUUGUAAUUUAACAAAAGUCUCUCACAGCUUGCCUAUUAAUAUUGGUACAUAAAGUUUGCUUUAACAAAUGUGACUUUUUUGGCCACGUUGUAAUGGCUGUUUAAUAUUUUAGGGAGAUAUUUACAUACCACACAUACGAGCAGGUUUUGUUUGGUUGGUUUUGGGUUUUUUUUCACUCAGGGAUAGGUGAGCAAUCUCUUACAGUUCAGAGUAAGGAAAUGUGCCCCUGCAAGGGACUGUCCUGCAUAUGCAGUGGUAGCAAACAAUUCCACACCUUCUACUAUUCAGCACUGCUUUGCAUAACACACUGCCUGUGGGUGGAUACAUAGAGGGAAAAGCCAUUCGUGUUCUGAGUCAGAAAGGGGAAGCAGGCCUGGUGCUCUCUCUUGUUUGCAGGGUGUUCAGAUCUGCUUGACCACAGUUACUUUCUAUAUAAAUAUACUACUGCUACAGGAGGCUCCUCAGGUGCUGAGAAUGCCCAGCAGAGGUGGGGGACAAUCAUAUCAUGAUAAUAUGUCAAGGGGAUUCAUAUCAUUACCUUCUGGCAUGUGUGGCUAGGAACAAAUGAGAGGGAAAUUAAAUUUUUAGUAUUUUAAUUUAAAAGGAAAUCAAUCACUUUGGUCUUCACAUCAGUAAAGAGAAAAGAAGGAGAUCUGUCUUUGCCUAGGAGGGCCAGCCAUAUUCAACAUAAAGACUGUUUUGUGCAUGAUUCCAAAAGGGGCAGGGCAAAAGCAGGGUAGCAGGUCCUUAAUCCCUCUGCUCAUCACUAGGUAGGCCUUCAUGAGAUAGUUGUCUGGGCAUUUUCACAUCUACAUCCUCUGGAGAGCACUCUGUAGUAUGGACCAACCAUAAAAGCCCACUCACAGAUCAGCUACUGCUCUUGACUCUCCUCAUUUCCAUGCACAGGAGUCUGGGAACACAGGUUUCUAAAUAGGAAAGCUGACACAAAGUUAAGGUGGAAGGCAAAAUGCAACAGCUGCUGUGGGGCUCUGCAGUUUGACAAGUCACUGACUACAUACAUAACAUUUAAAUAUUUAACUGGAUUUCUAAUAAAUAUCUAUGGUGAAACCAUGAUUUCCUUCUGUAGCUAGCUUUCUACAAGCUAAUGGGUGAUAAGUAAUCAGCUUUACCAGAUCAAAUUCUACACACCAUUUUCUUUUCUUAACACUUUGUUUAAUUAUAAAUGGUCUUAUAUUGAGUCUGUUUAUGCCAUUGCUUUUAUGGAUCAUCAGCAAGACCAUGAAAAUAUUAUAUGAGUAAUUUCCAUGUAUUUUGACUGAAAGCUACUUUUGUGUUCUCUGUUCACUCCUAUUUGAUCAGACAACCAGAUUAAAUUGAAUACCUUAUUUGCUUAAUAUUAUUUAUAAAAAAAAAAAAACAACCCUCACUAACUUGACCAUUCACAUUUAGUAAGGCCAUUCUUCUCUACAAAACCUAUUACUCAUUCUGUGCCCACUUGUGAACCCACAAAUUGGAGGCACACUGGACCUGGACCAAGUUAUAAAGAUCAUGUUACACAUACCUACCCUAAUUCCUAAACAGAACAAAGGUCUUUAGGAAAGUGCUGUGGUUUCCUGGAACAGUUAGAACAACAUAUGGAGCUGUAAGAAUAAUUUGUUUGCCGUGAUCUGAUUACUGUGUGAAAUAAGGUAUAAUAUAAUAUAAUAAACCCUGAGACUAGCUCAGUUGGUUACAGCAUGGUGCCAAUAACACCAUUGUGUGUUUGAUCCCUGUACAGGCCAUUCACUUAAGAGUUGGACUUGAUGAGCCCUUUGGGUCCCUCCCAACUCAGAUUGUUGGGAUUCCAUGAGUGUAUAACCCCACCUUUCUUUUAUGUGUAAGAACACCAGGUGGCUGAAAGUCUGACAUCUUGUUAUGAUACGGAACUUUACUCACUGUAUUUCUUGAACAAACAAUAGUGGAACUGCCAAUAGUGGAAUAAUACACGUUACUGAAGUUAGAAGUACUGUCUGCAUUUAAACAAUUGUACAAUCUCUAUGCUGCUGUUUGUGCUAACCAGAUCUGCUUGCAACAAAUACUUGUCUUAAAACAAGCCAUUGUGAACUUCCAGAUCAAUAUUCAGUGUGUGCCAAAAAAUUCAGUGAUACAUUUUGAAUGGCAGAAUAAGAAAUUAACUACUGAAUCUUGCUAAAAAAAUGUGAAAUUUAAAAUAACAUUUUUUAAAAGUUUGAAAUAAAGAGAAUUUUUUCAUUAUCAAAACUAAAAAAAAUAUUAAACGUCUUUGAUGGGAAGUAUCAGACAAAAUGUAUUAGGCGGUCCUUCUGGAAAUUCUGCAAGAAAAGCACUUGUCACAAUGUUUCUAUCCUGUUUACAGACCUAUCCCAAAACCCACUUCAAAACUGUCUGGGCUACAUCUAUGUUUCUGUGGAUGAAACAGUGCCCGGGACCAUUCAAAUCCUGCCCAUCAUAAUGACCUGGCCCAUGAAUCCACUUGUGAUAACCUUGACCAUCAACAAAAGGUCUUCAAUUCCUGCCUAGGAAACUGCAGAGAAUAUGUAUUGGAUGCUGACAGAAAAGGGAAAGUCUUUCUCUCAUA